AAAAUAUUGGAGGACUUAAGUACAAUAACACAACAAUUAACAGAAUUAUUAAAAACAAAUGAUGAAAGUAAAUUUGUCACGACUAGGGUUGUCGCCGUCGCCGUUACCGUCGCGGAGGUUCUUCAUCUCCGGAGAGGCUCAUCGCCGGUUAAGACCACUCGAUUGUCGAUUCGUUGGGUUUCUGUGCUCUCAGACUCAGUUCUGUGUUCUAAUUUGGACGAGUGGGACAAAGUUCAUGUCUUGUCUAUAUUGAUUGGUAAUCAUAGCUGUUGCUUUUGAUGCGCUUGGCGUCAGAGUUCAUCAUGCUACAAUGGGUAAGAAGAAUUUGAGGUCGGCUGCCAUGGCGGCCAAGAUGAAAUCGAGUGGCAAAGAUUCAUUUAAAAAAGUAGGAAUUAUCAGUGGCAGCAAUGGAGCACGGAAGUCGGAAAGCUGCAACACAAUGUGUCGCUUCGAUAUUAACCAAGGAGACCCUUGGAGUUCCAGAUGAAAGCUUUAUAUAAUUAUUCCUCUAACCCUUCCAUUCAAAAUUCGCAGAAGGGUUUUGUCUGAAAUCUUGGGCGCUUCUCUUUAAUCUGGGAAAUAUUUAGGUCCCUUGAUCAUAUUAUAUAACCGGAGAUCAAUUUGUUUCCAUUUCACCGUACAUUCUUUUCUCAAAAUAUCUUGCCGUAAAAAAAAUGGAGAAACUCUCAACUCCACCAGGUUUUGUGUCAAAAACAUCGUUUGUGUUGAAGCAAGUAUCGCGUGAAAAAGAAAGAACCAAUCUCCCUGAUGAUGGGGAAAGUUGCCUAAAGAGCCGACCAUGGAUACUGCAUGAUCAGACAGCUCUCAGCGAGGCAUCAGAACAUGAGGUGGCUCUUAAACCAUAUCUUUCACAGUACUUGGUUUUUUUCUUCUUCCAAGAUUGGUGUCUUAUCAUUUGUUGGUAUCUCUUCUGAUUCUUAAAGAUGAUGGUAACAAUUAGAUCUUUAAAAUGAGAUUUAUUCUGUAAUCUUGCUGGUUUCUGCUGCUACUAAUAGGCAUUAGAUUUGAUGCAUUGAGGGUUAGCUAAAGCCGCAGUCUUUAUUUCUUAAAUUGUAAUGAGUUUUGCAAUGAAAUUUUGUUACAUUGUUCAUCUCAAUGAGUUUUAUAGCAUAUAAAUUUGACUCAUCCACAAUCCAAAAAUAUUCAAAACAAUCUUAACUAGUAGAAAUGAUAUAUUUUGGUCAAGAAAAUUAAUGUAUGAAAUAAUUGGUCCAUUCAUCAUGUAAUGUGUCCGUUCAAUUUAAAGGAUGAUUACAAAGUUUAUACAAUUUUUAACAAAAAGAGAGUUAAUUUAUUGGGAGCAAAAAGUUAUGUUGUCCAUAUUUGAUGUUAAGAAUGAAAUUUUUCUUAGUUUAGAAUAUGCCUUUUCACGGUUCUGAUGUUUAUAUAUGACUGUGUUUGUAUGCAUGUAUGUGUUUGUAUGUAUAUGUAUAUAUCCUGGAAGUAAGUAUGUAUGUGUAUGUAUUUUAGGGUUUAUAAUGAAUUUGAUGUAGACGUGGUUCGAGUUCUCGCUACGGUAGUUGAAUUGGGGGCGGUAAUAAGAGAUUUGAUCUCUCCAAACUCUAGCAAAUAAGUUUCCAAGUGUAGGAAACCAAAAGUGUGGACUGCUCAAGAGGGUGCUGGCAUCUUCAACACCUUGGCUAUGAUUAACUACCUUGCAAUCGGAUUAAGAAUCCAAGGAUUCAAAGGUUAGUUUUCGUUCUUGAAGUUCUUCAUCAAAGCAUGAUGGUCCGUGGGUCGUUCAAAAUUGUUUUGAACUGGUGAGCGAGGAUUCUGCGCGAUCCAACAACUACUCCAAAGCGAGCACGCUUAACUUUAGAAUUCUUUCGAGAUGGGACAACCGAAAAGGUAGAUGAUCUUGUUGUUACGAGUAGUUCAAUCAAUUUCUUUAAGUUAUUUUUGACUGUGUAGUCCCAUACCUAUAUAGUCCUCGGAUCUCUCUCAUUUCGGUGCGUUUGAUUCAUCCCUAUACUCCUUACCAGAAGCUCAUCAGGAGUCAUUCCUUGUUUGUGUUUCUCGCACAUGCUGUUGCAAUUAAUAUGUAUUAUAUUAUGUAGGUUGUCUAGCCAGAUGCUAAGUGUCGCAUCUAUGGCGAGGCUUGAGGAAGGUGAGGCACAGAUUACUCGUUACGAGGAGUUAUUGUAGCGUAUGCUUCCUAUACAUCCAUCGUCAGCCAAUGCUUCAGAGCAAGACUUGGUUCAGCCAGCAAUCGAGCGUGGUGUCGGACCUUCAGGAGCCUCUGGGGAGCAGGAAUACGGAUCCGAGAACCCCGAUAAUUAUUUGGUGUAAUUUUAUUUGUUGUAUUUUCAUAAACACUUUUAUGUAUUUUGAUAUAAUA